UACGUAGGGGGCUAGCGUUGUCCGGAUUUAUUGGGCGUAAAGAGCGUGUAGGCGGCCAGGUAGGUCUGCUGUGAAAACUCGAGGCUCAACCUCGAGAUGUCGGCGGAAACCAUCUGGCUAGAGUCCGGAAGAGGAGAAUGGAAUUCCCGGUGUAGCGGUGAAAUGCGCAGAUAUCGGGAGGAACACCAGUGGCGAAGGCGACUACCUGGCCUGUUCUUGACGCUGAGGCGCGAAAGCUAGGGGAGCAAACGGG
rnacentral:rRNA from 1 species